GCUUAAUGUAAUUAUGCAACAAAUUAGAACAUCGGUGGGUCAAAUAACUGAGCCUGCAAUUAGAAAGUCCAAAUAGCUUACGCUAAAAAGAAGGUAAACAUAGGUGACACAAUAAAGCCUGGUUUGAUGAACUCUAUCACACACUUUGUGAUGUUUGAUGAAUAAAGCUAUCCCUCAAAA